GCCGAUCAUUCCGGCGAUGGUUCUCUGCCGCCCCGCGCGUCAGAGAUGAAAUGGGAACACGGUCCGGCUUUUCCGAAAGCUUAUUCCGUGGCUGCCCCCGCAACUGUAGGUGGUUGCCGUUUUCGAGAUACCACUGGCCUCGGGCUGGGAAGGUGAAAACGGGUAAAUGCCACGAGCCAGGAUACCUGCCAUCAUCACCGGUGAAAG
rnacentral:ncRNA from 2 species